rnacentral:rRNA from 1 species
UUAGUGGCGAACGGGUGAGUAACACGUGAGUAACCUGCCCUUAACUCUGGGAUAAGCCUUGGAAACGGGGUCUAAUACUGGAUAUUGACUUUACAUCGCAUGGUGUUUGGUUGAAAGAUUUAUUGGUUUUGGAUGGACUCGCGGCCUAUCAGCUUGUUGGUGAGGUAAUGGCUCACCAAGGCGACGACGGGUAGCCGGCCUGAGAGGGUGACCGGCCACACUGGGACUGAGACACGGCCCAGACUCCUACGGGAGGCAGCAGUGGGGAAUAUUGCACAAUGGGCGAAAGCCUGAUGCAGCGACGCCGCGUGAGGGAUGACGGCCUUCGGGUUGUAAACCUCUUUCAGUAGGGAACAAGGCCAGACGUUGUCUGGUUGAGGGUACUUGCAGAAGAAGCGCCGGCUAACUACGUGCCAGCAGCCGCGGUAAUACGUAGGGCGCAAGCGUUAUCCGGAAUUAUUGGGCGUAAAGAGCUCGUAGGCGGUUUGUCGCGUCUGCCGUGAAAGUCCGGGGCUCAACCCCGGAUCUGCGGUGGGUACGGGCAGACUAGAGUGAUGUAGGGGAGACUGGAAUUCCUGGUGUAGCGGUGAAAUGCGCAGAUAUCAGGAGGAACACCGAUGGCGAAGGCAGGUCUCUGGGCAUUAACUGACGCUGAGGAGCGAAAGCAUGGGGAGCGAACAGGAUUAGAUACCCUGGUAGUCCAUGCCGUAAACGUUGGGCACUAGGUGUGGGGGACAUUCCACGUUUUCCGCGCCGUAGCUAACGCAUUAAGUGCCCCGCCUGGGGAGUACGGCCGCAAGGCUAAAACUCAAAGGAAUUGACGGGGGCCCGCACAAGCGGCGGAGCAUGCGGAUUAAUUCGAUGCAACGCGAAGAACCUUACCAAGGCUUGACAUGAACUG